GACGCGUUCUAAGUAGGUAGCUAGCUAUAGAAGCAAUGUACAAUAUGUAGUACUUGAGCUACGCGGAAAUUAUCCCCCGCAUGGUUAUAAUAAAUCUGUUUCUAUGAUUCGAGAUUCAAUUCAGCAUUGGCAUUUUGAACGUGGACGUAAUAGCUUGUCAACCUUUAUAAUACACUAUUAUUAUCGUUUAGGUUUGGGCUAUUUCAGUUUGCGUGUCACUUAUACCUAUCUUUUUGUUUAUUGUACUAGUUCAUUUUUAUACGUUUUACUUUUGUGAGAGAUCGACUACUUUUCUACAAUCAAUCCGGUUCUAGAGUUGGAUAAUUAUUCUAAAAAUUUAGUCUUGUGCAAAAUUGGAGCAGAGAUUUUGGGCAACAUUUAAAAAAUGAAGUUUGAUAUUUCAUCUAAUGUUUAUACCUAACCUAUCAAUUUUUUCUAUUAAUAAGUUCUUCUGGUUACAGUAAAAAGUAAUAACAUUCAUAAAUUAGGUUCAUUCAGUUUCUUCUCGGAUCAAAACUGGUAUCUUUAAUCACCUAGGUAAUUUUAUUGUGAUUUGAGUAUUUUGAGUUCUAUACCUAUAUAUGCCAUACGAAAUUUGAAUUUCAUGUAGGUAUGCGAACAUGGGUAGCCUAUAGGCAAUAGAAAUGGGCACUUCAUUUUUUAAAAAAAUAUUUAAUGUAGGGAGGUAGGUACCCAUCGUAUUUUCACCUUUUUCCAUUUUUAGGGCGAGAUCGGUGUACUCUACAAUAUUACCUACUGUGGUGACUGUAUAGAGAAAUGAUCUCUUGAUUUGAAGUUUAUGUGUUCAAGCCAGUCAAGCCUCAAAUUAUGAAGCACGUAGCAUCAUUUUUCCAUCUGAUUUCGUCUCAUUAAUGCUGUAAAUCCAAUGCUGGAGCAUGUAGUGGCGUUGUCAAACCCUAAUACAAUAUGUAGAAGUUUGGUGACCAUAAAUCAUUAAUUACUGUUCUCACAUUGCAUAUUUUCAUUUCACAUAUUUAAAUAUGGCUUUCGUGCAAAAAACAAACAGAUUUUUUCCUUUUUUUGAAAAAUCAAAGAUUCGUUUAUUAAAGCUCAGGUUGUUCAAAAAAACAAAAUUCUAGUUUCAUAAUUUAUAAACAUUAUUUUCCAUCUCUUUUUCUGGAGUUGUUUUGGCAUACUAUCCAUAUCUGCUGAAAAAUGUAUAUUAGUCGUCUUUGAAGAUGAAUUUGCCUAACCUCUAGCUAGUAGGAGCUUUAUUUAUUUUCAUGCCAUGAAAAAGAUCAGCAUUGAAUCGCAUUGAAUUCAUUAUUUCAGUUUACGAUAGUGCCGAAAAUACACAUAUUGACAAAUUGAUUACUUCGAUUUAAGAUGAUCAAAAUGGAGUAUAUGUUUUUUUCUGCUUAAAGCUGGUUAUUUUUCUGUAGGAUGCUUUGUUCAAAAGAUACCUAUACAUACGCAUAAAACGUAGAUAUACCUAAUGUAAUGUCCUACUUUAGAAUUUUUUUUUUUUUUAAUGAGCACAUUUAUAUCCGAGAAUUCCACCACUACCCCACCCCCUCUCUUUCAGUCUCUUGUAGGUGAAUUUUCAAUAUCCUACAAUACUCGGAGACAAAUUCCCAAAACAUACCUUUAUUCAUUGGGGGUAAAAAUCAAAAAUGUGUAAAAUGCAGUGUGGUGAAUUUCACCAUCUUGUGGCAUUUUUGGGAUUUUUUGAAUGUGACAUUCCAAGGUUACAAUGUUAUCCUACCUCGUGGCUCGUACCCUCAGCAGUCAGCACUCAAUUCAAAUAAUGAUGAAAUAAUAAAACUUGAAAAUAAAAUUUGUAAGUAGACUUGGAAUAAUCUAGUAGAUCUUGAAUUCGUUGUGUAAAAAACACCAAUUAUGGCUGCUGCUCGAACUUUGGAAGAACGUCUAGGAGCUAUCGGCGUGGCGAUGCCUGCCGACCACAGAGAAGCGUUUGUUCUUGUAGGAUGUUUACUGAGGCAUCUUGAAACCGAUAGCGACAUUAAGGUAUCACUAGUAUGUUUGCGCGAGAGAAUGUGAAGAAGUUCCAGUCUGUGGUUUUAUCCGCGUAUCUUCCUCCGUUAAGUCGUCGUCGUCGCCGCUGGACUCUAAACGACUUCCGAUCAGCCUACAUGAAAUUUUAUGACGACGAACGUCCUGCUGCCACCGCAUCGGCCACUGUACGAGAAACGUUUCCUCACGGAGCUGAUAUUUUCGCCGAUAAUUGUAUUGGGCUGUAUCAACAGACAUCUGCAAAUAUCCGUUUUUUAUCUGAUUUGUAUUGCUGUCGUAGCAGUGUACAGGAGCUGAGAAGGUCAAUAUUCUUUCGUUCGGCUCAGCUAACAAUCAACAGGCAGUUUUAUCGGCCAUUAAGUCUCUUCCAGAGAUGAGAGUUCCUGCAGAUCUUUGAUGUUUGUUUCUAAUCUUUGUCAGAUCCGUUGUACGAAGUCGUAUUUUGUUAAUAUAUUAUUUCAUAUUUUGUUCAUACCUA